GAAACGUUGGUAAUUGAAAUUGCCGUUUGAUAUGUUUUUUUUUUACUUUUAUUUUUAUUUAUCUAUUUAUUUAAAGCCGACUUAAUCAGUGUUCGUACCUCCUAUUUGAUUUUGGUCAUCUCACUUAAAUUCAUUGCCGGCCAUAGCCCAGGAUCAUGUAGCAAAUCGCUCCUACGUCGGAUCGCAGGAAACAAGAUGUGUUUACGCCCAAUAUGGUCAGGAUACACUAAAACAACCAUUCACCUUAGUGUCUGUGGCUAGCAAUGGAUGAUUGCAAUGGGAAACAGCUGUAGAUGCCAACUGUGGAACAGAGUGUCAGCUUUUGGCCCUACUGGCUUUAAUUAGCAAUACAGAUGUCAGGUG